rnacentral:lncRNA from 1 species
GCCAUGAUUUUAAACCAUGGUUUAAUGGCUUUGUUUUUUCUUUCAAACAAGGCUAUAAAAACACUAGACAAUAAUGUAUAAUUAUGUUAACUUUAUAUCACAAUGUAUAUAAUUAAUAUGUACACAUAUUACAUUAUAUACAAUAAUCAACAACUUUUAAAAUUGCAUCAAUAUAGGAUACAUUGCAGGUUUCAAGGUAUAUCUUUUCAUUGCGCUUAGUACAUCAAAUAAGGUGCAAUUUUCAUACUGUGAAAGUCCUCAAUAAGUUACAACUUUAUUGCAUGCCUUUAAGUUAAAGCAAAAAUUGUUGUUUUAACCAAUUACUUUUAAGUAGUCAGACCUGUUCUGAUUGUUAAAAAAUAAUUAAAUAUUAAGAAAGAGAUAUAUAAAUCUCAAUAUUAAAUUACUGUCAGGUGGUUUGACUAUUACCUUUUCAAACAGUUAAGGAAGCUGGCUUGUCAUGUUUUGGAUUUUUUGUCAGAUUUUCGGAAUCCUCUGGUUUUAUCCAUUUGAAUGCCUUGAAAAAUUUGCCAAGUGACCCCCAUUUUUCUUUAUGAAAAUCUUUUACAUGUAUAAUGAUAAGCCAUCUGUAAAAGUCUUAUAAAAUUUUAAUUACUUUUUAACAGUUUUUGAGAACUUCAGCUUGUCAAUGAUAAAGCUAUAAAAAGUCAAGAGAGAAUAUUUUCCCGCCAAAAUUUCAAAUACUUAUAUCUCGAAAACAAGCACGGUGAUCUUUAUAUAUUUUCUGCAUUUUGGAUUUCUUAAUUAAUUCCCUAUCAAUAUAAACUAGUGCUUUGAAAAGUUAAUUACUUUGAAACUGAGAAGCGAACUCCCUUAACUUACUGAAUAAUCAUAUAUUGUUUAGGGGACACAGUAAAACUGAACUUUGCCUACACUUUUAAAAUAGUCUUUAAAUCAAUCAUUAUAAAAAUAAUAAGACACGAUGACAAAUAAUCUACAGUAAAAUCUGUGAUAAUAAUCAAUUCAUUCCGUAUUUAGCAAACAUGAACUAAGCAAUAUGAAAUAUUCAAUGAAUUCUAACUAUAUUUUACUGAGAAAAGAAUAUUCCUGGUUUAAAAAUGGUUAUUGAUGAAGAAUAUGGUUGGAAGCACAAUGCAAUAAUUUAUGAGCACCAUGUUCUAUUGCAGAAAUUGUCUGAUCAGAUUUCUACCAACACAGAAUAUAGGUACAGUUUCCCCAUCUAAUAAUCAAAUUGCAUAUUUCUUUUUAAAAAAACAAAACAGAUAAAUGUGGAAGUCUUUACAUCCAAUUAUUACAUUGCAAUGCAUUUGUAAUAAAUCAUGAUAUCAAACUUAAAUUUUGUUCAAAAUGUUUGAAUAAAUUUGUAAAAAAGUAUUUGAAAUUUAUUCCAGUUGACUUUUAUCUUUUUAAAAAAUAAACAUGCAACAUAUCCGUAGUAUAUAUAACACAUGAGUAUUUUCAGUAAGACACUAUGUACAAUACAAAUAAAAUAUUAAUAUAUGGAAUAUUACUGUGAACAUAUGAAAAUAUAUCUGGAAUGUGAAUGAUAAAUAUAUAUAUAUAUAAACAAUAAACUUUUGUCUCAAAAAUAUAAUACAAUGGAAGUAAAUAUUUAAUUUUUCCUCUAAUUUAUAAUCUCACAACAAUAUAGGUAUAACCACAUAUAUAAAUUAUUAUCUUGAUUAGACAUAUAAUAUUUUGUCAAUAAGUACUUUUGUGAAACUUUUGAUACUUUCAGAUAAUCAGUGCAAUAGGUUGUUCUCAGCCCUUAUUUGGUCAAAAUUAAGAAAUGACAUAAACAUUUUGCCAAUCAGUUUUUUAUUUCAAUUUUUUCAAUCAUUUAAGUAUGUCUGAUUCAACAAAUGAAAAGAACUAAAUGUUUUUUAAACCCCAAAAGAAAACCUUCUUACUUUGUCUUUUCCUUAAAUCGAUACAUCAAAUUCAUCUGACAUGAAGAUUUCAAAAUUUCAGCCACUAUUCUGUUUAAUUGGGGUAGACUAAAAAAUCUUUUAAAUGGUGAGUUUCUGAAUUUUUUGGCUGUAAAUGCAGCUUUUAGUACAAAGGCUGUUCCAUUACAAACAAACAUAAAACGAAGGGAUGGAACUGGGUUAUUUUGUAUAGAGUUUUUAAAAUUUCCCCUUCUUUUUCCCUGUCCCAAAAGAAAUUGAUAUAUAAAUGUGACUUCUCAGUGUCCCCUGCAAGUUUUCAUGUAACUAUCCUGAAGAGCAUUAAGGUUUUUGAAGAGUAUAUCCAUAAUUACAAACUACAAGAAAUUGAUUAUAUGUAAAUGCACUAUUUGGCAUUUAUAAAACAAUAAUUGUACAUAUUAACAAAUGAUAAUAAGUAUUUAACAUUUUAAAUGCGAUCAAUAAACAAACAUUAUGUUUUAUAGAAAAUAUGGCUGAACAUGUUAUAUGUAUUUGUAGGUGAAUAUCUUAAAUAGCACUCUUAUGUAGAACAAAAUCUAUUGCUUCAACAAUCAAUGGUGUUAGUUUUUUUUUAAAUGUGAUAAAUAUAAAAUAUAGAAACAAAAUUUAAUAGGCCAUUAUAAACAAAUUCUUAGAUCCUCAUCCAUUUUUUUAUUAAACCUUUUUUUCAUAUAAGAAAACUCUGCCAAAAGGGGAGAAUAGACAGAAAUCAAAUUAAACCUUUUUUUCAUAAAAGAAAACUCUGCCAAAAGGGGAGAAUAGACAGAAAUCAAAUUAAAACUAAUUUUUUUACUCUGCAUUAAAACUAUCCAUUAUUCAAUAAAAAACUACAUUUUCAUGUGAACAAAGAUUUUUUUCAUAAUCAAAUAAACAGAAAUGCAGAACCCUGUUAUAAAUGAUAUCCUUAUCCAACUUCACAAGUUGACUAAAAUUACCAACAUGUACAGAAAGAUCUUACAAUCAUUCAAAGAAAAAAGUCUAUCAAAAAUAUAAUACCCUGCCAAAUCAUUAAAAUACAAUAACAGUUGUAUUCAUUACUUUUUUUAUUAAAUUUAACCUUUAACCCUGUAUAUUCAUUAACCGUGGAUAUAAAAAAAAGAUUUGUCUAGAGUUGGCAAAUUGCAGAAUUUACAACUGUACAAACCCAUGCAUGGAAAAACCAUCAUGAUCAUGUAUUCACAUUAUUCUAAUAAUCCUUCUUUCUCUAAAAUCAGAAGUUUUCAAAACUUACAAAAUAUAAGAACUUUUUUCCAACAGGCAUCUUAAAAUCACAUGUUGAUACACAACUCUUGAACAAAAUAAUAUUGUUCUAAUAAUUCAUAUAUAGUGUACAAAUAAAGAUAAAAAUAUUUUGUAUCCUAAAUACCUAUGUAGAGUAUUUAAUAGUAAUUUACAAUAAUAUAUUAAAAUAGUACUUUUAUUUUCUAUAUCUAAAAUUGUAUCCUACCAUGUACUUCAGUUUACAUUUAUAAAUUUCAACAAAUGACAUUAUUUUAAGAAAAAUUUACUUCACCAGUAAAUUUAGGAUAGUUGUUUCUAUUGGUUUAUUGAUAUAUAUGUACCCUCAAUAUCUUUGUAUCACAAUCUAUUACACAUAAAUAAUACAACUUCUAUAAAAUUAGAGACUGUGACCCUUUUUACAUUACUGUAUAAUGUAUAUUCCAAGCUCAGUUGUGAAUGCUCUGGAGGUUGAAACCAUCAUUUUUUUUUGACAACUAAUGCUUUUGUAUGGGAGACAUAUGGUUGGAACCCCUCUUGUAAAAUGCCUAGAUAUGUAGUUUCCUACUCAAACAUACAAAUUGCAUAUACUAUUCCUUCAAUAUGAAGAAGGUACACAACAUAAUUUGGAAAGGUAACCAGUUUUUCCCAAAAAAUUAAAAGAAAAAUAAUAAAACUUUAUCAUAAAAAUCUCAAUUUGCAUUUCAAUCUCAUAUUUUGUAUGUAUGAGAACUGUUAUUCAAGUUCAAAUUCUUACUGCAAUAUUUGCACAAUAUACUAAACAAGGGUAAAAUUUAAUGCUCCUUCGGCAACGGCAGGGGCAUAACAAAUGUCUGAGCAUUAGUUUAGUAAUCCUAAUCAUACAUAAAACAUUGAUUUUCUCGCAUGAAAUAAAUAUCUCAUGUUUCUUUCUUUCAUUUGGUUGCAUUAUGAUUCAACAAUAUUCAAACUGAUGACAUAAAAAUGUAAAAAAUCAAGGGAUUAAAUAGAAAAUUUG